rnacentral:rRNA from 1 species
AUUGAACGCUGGCGGCAGGCCUAACACAUGCAAGUCGAACGCGUGGCGGACGGGUGAGUAAUGUCUGGGAAACUGCCUGAUGGAGGGGGAUAACUACUGGAAACGGUAGCUACUACCGCAUACCAUCAGAUGUGCCCAGAUGGGAUUAGCUAGUUGGUGGGGUAACGGCUCACCAAGGCGACGAUCCCUAGCUGGUCUGAGAGGAUGACCAGCCACACUGGAACUGAGACACGGUCCAGACUCCUACGGGAGGCAGCAGUGGGGAAUAUUGCGCAAUGGGCGCAAGCCUGAUUCAGCAAGGCCGCGUGUAGGAAGAAGGCCUUCGGGUUGUAAAGUACUUUCAGCGGGGAGGCGUUACCCACAGAAGAAGCACCGGCUAACUCCGUGCCAGCAGCCGCGGUAAUUC